GCUUUUAAAGGAAACUAGUCUAUCCUUUGGCUUUAGGUGCCAAUCCCCCCUUGGUGCAAAUCCAUGUAAAAGCU
rnacentral:tRNA from 1 species